rnacentral:rRNA from 1 species
UACGAAGGGAGCUAGCGUUGUUCGGAAUCACUGGGCGUAAAGCGCACGUAGGCGGAUGUGUCAGUCAGGGGUGAAAUCCUGGAGCUCAACUCCAGAACUGCCUUUGAUACUGAGAAGCUUGAGUCCGGGAGAGGUGAGUGGAACUGCGAGUGUAGAGGUGAAAUUCGUAGAUAUCGGGAGGAACACCGGUGGCGAAGGCGGGUCUCUGGGCCGAUACUGACGCUGAGGAGCGAAAGCGUGGGGAGCGAACAGG